AUUCAGAUAACGAGUCCCAAAUAGAACGAAAUAUGCAUCUUGAAU
rnacentral:hammerhead_ribozyme from 1 species